GACGAACGCUGGCGGCGUGCUUAACACAUGCAAGUCGAACGGAAAGGCCCUGCUUUUGUGGGGUGCUCGAGUGGCGAACGGGUGAGUAACACGUGAGUAACCUGCCCUUGACUUUGGGAUAACUUCAGGAAACUGGGGCUAAUACCGGAUAGGAGCUCCUGCUGCAUGGUGGGGGUUGGAAAGUUUCGGCGGUUGGGGAUGGACGCGCGGCUUAUCAGCUUGUUGGUGGGGGAGUGGCUUACCAAGGCUUUGACGGGUAGCCGGCCUGAGAGGGUGAACGGCCACAUUGGGACUGCGAUACGGCCCAGACUCCUACGGGAGGCAGCAGUGGGGAAUAUUGCACAAUGGGCGGAAGCCUGAUGCAGCAACGCCGCGUGCGGGAUGACGGCCUUCGGGUUGUAAACCGCUUUCGCCUGUGACGAAGCGUGAGUGACGGUAAUGGGUAAAGAAGCACCGGCUAACUACGUG
rnacentral:rRNA from 1 species